GUCCACGCCGUAAACGAUGGAUACUUGGUGUUGGAGGUAUUGACCCCUUCAGUGCCGAAGCUAACGCGUUAAGUAUCCCGCCUGGGAAGUACGGUCGCAAGAUUAAAACUCAAAGAAAUUGACGGGGCCCGCACAAGCGGUGGAGCAUGUGGUUCAAUUCGAUGCAACGCGAAGAACCUUACCUGGGUUUGACAUGUACUGGAAGACUACCAGAAAUGGUGUCGCCUUCGGGCCGGUACACAGGUGCUGCAUGGCUGUCGU
rnacentral:rRNA from 1 species